rnacentral:rRNA from 1 species
GACGUAGGGCGCGAGCGUUGUCCGGAUUUAUUGGGCGUAAAGAGCUCGUAGGCGGCUUGUCGCGUCGACUGUGAAAUCCCGCGGCUCAACUGCGGGUCUGCAGUCGAUACGGGCAGGCUAGAGUUCGGUAGGGGAGACUGGAAUUCCUGGUGUAGCGGUGAAAUGCGCAGAUAUCAGGAGGAACACCGGUGGCGAAGGCGGGUCUCUGGGCCGAUACUGACGCUGAGGAGCGAAAGCGUGGGGAGCGAGCAGG